GUGAGCGCGGCGGCGGCUGAGGCAGUGGGCGUGUGCGGCCGCUCGCCGGUCCUGUCCGUCCUGGUGGGAUGCUGGUUUGGGAGAGGUCAGAAAUAAGGAGAAUGCUAUCUUAAGUAAAAAAAAAAAUCUAUUACAACAUUUGUUUAAUACCACUUAAAUGAAGAGAGAGA